UAGUACGAGAGGACCGGAGUGGACGAACCGCUGGUGUUCGGGUUGUGUCGCCAGACGCAUUGCCCGGUAGCUAUGUUCGGAUAGGAUAACCGCUGAAAGCAUCUAAGCGGGAAGCCCCUUCCAAGAUGAGAUCUCCCUGGACCCUUGAGGUCCCUGAAGAGCCGUUCAAGACCAGGACGUUGAUAGGUCGGGUGUGUAAGCGCUGCGAGGCGU
rnacentral:rRNA from 1 species